AGUGAACGCUGGCGGUAGGCCUAACACAUGCAAGUCGAACGGCAGCACAGUAAGAGCUUGCUCUUACGGGUGGCGAGUGGCGGACGGGUGAGGAAUACAUCGGAAUCUACUUUUUCGUGGGGGAUAACGUAGGGAAACUUACGCUAAUACCGCAUACGACCUACGGGUGAAAGCAGGGGAUCUUCGGACCUUGCGCGAUUGAAUGAGCCGAUGUCGGAUUAGCUAGUUGGCGGGGUAAAGGCCCACCAAGGCGACGAUCCGUAGCUGGUCUGAGAGGAUGAUCAGCCACACUGGAACUGAGACACGGUCCAGACGCCUACGGGAGGCAGCAGUGGGGAAUAUUGGACAAUGGGCGCAAGCCUGAUCCAGCCAGACCGCGUGGGUGAAGAAGGCCUUCGGGUUGUAAAGCCCUUUUGUUGGGAAAGAAAAGCAGCAGGUUAAUACCCCGCUGUUCUGACGGUACCCAAAGAAUAAGCACCGGCUAACUUCGUG
rnacentral:rRNA from 1 species